GAUGAACGCUGGCGGCGUGCCUAAUACAUGCAAGUCGAGCGAACAGAUGAGGAGCUUGCUCCUCUGACGUUAGCGGCGGACGGGUGAGUAACACGUGGAUAACCUACCUAUAAGACUGGGAUAACUUCGGGAAACCGGAGCUAAUACCGGAUAAUAUAUUGAACCGCAUGGUUCAAUAGUGAAAGACGGUUUUGCUGUCACUUAUAGAUGGAUCCGCGCCGCAUUAGCUAGUUGGUAAGGUAACGGCUUACCAAGGCAACGAUGCGUAGCCGACCUGAGAGGGUGAUCGGCCACACUGGAACUGAGACACGGUCCAGACUCCUACGGGAGGCAGCAGUAGGGAAUCUUCCGCAAAGGGCGAAAGCCUGACGGAGCAACGCCGCGUGAGUGAUGAAGGUCUUCGGAUCGUAAAACUCUGUUAUUAGGGAAGAACAAAUGUGUAAGUAACUAUGCACGUCUUGACGGUACCUAAUCAGAAAGCCACGGCUAACUACGUG
rnacentral:rRNA from 1 species